rnacentral:rRNA from 1 species
UACAGAGGGUGCGAGCGUUAAUCGGAAUUACUGGGCGUAAAGGGUGCGUAGGCGGCCUGACAAGUCUGAUGUGAAAUCCCUGGGCUCAACCCCGGGCCUGCAUCCGAUACUCCCGGGCUGGAGGCAGGUAGGGGAGAUCGGAAUUCCUGGUGUAGCGGUGAAAUGCGCAGAUAUCAGGAGGAACACCGGUGGCGAAGGCGGAUCUCUGGGCCUUGCCUGACGCUGAGGCGCGAAAGCUAGGGGAGCGAACAGG